AUGAAAACAGACUCAGGAUCUGGCUGGAGGCCUUCGGUGACAUCAGUCCAGAGGUGGCUGCCCUGACCCUGACUACUGGGGGCUGAAGAGACCUCCUUCCCUACUUUGUCCUGGCUUGGCAGAGAGAAGGAGAAAGGCAAGAGUCAACUCUCCCUGAAUCCCUCUCCCUUCUGGGGCACCGAACUUGGGACAGAAAUUCUUCCCGUGGAAGACAGUCAUGCUGCCUACCCAAGAGCCUACCCAAGAAGUACUCCACUGUGCAACUGAACCAUCAGUCUUGUGCAACAAGAAGCAAGACAGGCGGGGCAUGGUGGCUCACACAUGUAAUCCCAGUACUUUGGGAGGCCGAGGUGGGUGGAUCACCUGAGGUCAGGAGUUCGAG
rnacentral:lncRNA from 1 species